ACGUAGGAGGCGAGCGUUAUCCGGAUUUACUGGGCGUAAAGCGCGUGUAGGCGGUUCGGUGAGUUGGAUGUGAAAGCUCCUGGCUCAACUGGGAGAGGUCGUUCAAUACUACCGGACUUGAGAGCGAUAGAGGAAAAUGGAAUUCCCGGUGUAGUGGUGAAAUGCGUAGAUAUCGGGAGGAACACCAGUGGCGAAAGCGAUUUUCUGGAUCGUUUCUGACGCUCAGACGCGAAAGCGAGGGUAGCAAACAG
rnacentral:rRNA from 1 species